ACGAUGCGAGACAACCUAUGUAUUUUUAUUGAUUUUGGUUAAAAUAUUACAUCUAAACGAUGUACACAAUCCGAACGCGUCAUGUUGUGUAAUAUUCCAACUUUCUAUGUACUAUUACAUCAAGUAGUCAAUGUUUAUUCCAAUUGACAUUUUAAUUUUUUUUCGUGUCCGAAAGUUUGAAACGGAUUGUGGAGUUCAGGAGGAUUUGUUCUGUUGGAAUUUUGGUCAUCGUUUAUCAGAGAUACAAAAGAGUUCCGGAGAAAAGAAAAUAAAGAAAGUUAUAUUCGAUGAAAUGGAUGACAACGAUGUUGCGAAGUUGUAGGACCAAUGGCCAUCAAAGGGACAGAUUAAUCGAAUACGGAACUGUGCCAAUCAGUGUUUAUUUCGGGUGUGAAUGUCUGGCUGAAGGUAGGAUGCCCAGAUAUGCCCAGUUUCUUUCAAAGUAGGAAGGAUACGAUCAAACAUUUCAACAGGAUACUGAAAGGUUCAGCGAAGCAGAUGUGACUGAAUCCAUUUGGAUGGUUCCAUUCUUCAGUUUGUCAUAAUUCAUGGAAUAAGUUAGUUUUUUAGUUUGUCAUAAUUCAUGGAAUAAACUCAUGUCUUCAGUUUUUAAUGGUUUAAUUCAGUCUGAAAAAAAAUUCUGAUCCUUUUAUACAUAUGUACAUAAGUAGGAGCUUAAAUUUUGAGUCCUUAAUUUGAGUUUUAGAUUUUUUAACAUAUCAGAAAUUUAUUCAAAUUUUGAAAAUGA